CCUACGGGAGGCAGCAGUGAGGAAUAUUGGUCAAUGGACGGAAGUCUGAACCAGCCACGCCGCGUGAAGGAAGACGGCCCUAUGAGUUGUAAACUGCUUUUGUAUAGGGGUAAACCUGAAUACGUGUAUUCUGCUGUAUGUACCGUAUGAAUAAGGAUCGGCUAACUCCGUGCCAGCAGCCGCGGUAAUACGGAGGAUCCAAGCGUUAUCCGGAUUUAUUGGGUUUAAAGGGUGCGUAGGUGGAUUGAUAAGUUAGUGGUGAAAUGUUGGAGCUUAACCCGGGAAUUGCCUCUGAUACUGGUGAUCUAGAGAGUAGGAGCGGUAGGCGGAAUGAGUGGUGUAGCGGUGAAAUGCUUAGAGAUCAUACAGAACACCGAUUGCGAAGGCAGCUUAC
rnacentral:rRNA from 1 species